rnacentral:rRNA from 1 species
UACGAGGGGGGCAAGCGUUGUUCGGAAUUACUGGGCGUAAAGGGCGCGCAGGCGGCCCUUGAAGUCAGGCGUGAAAGCCCCGGGCUCAACCUGGGAGGUGCGCUUGAUACUCGAGGGCUUGAGUGCGGGAGAGGAGAGUGGAAUUCCCAGUGUAGAGGUGAAAUUCGUAGAUAUUGGGAAGAACACCGGUGGCGAAGGCGGCAUCCUGGACCGACAUUGACGCUGAACGGCGAAAGCUAGGGGAGCAAACGGG